rnacentral:rRNA from 1 species
CCCUACGGGGGGCAGCAGUGAGGAAUAUUGGUCAAUGGGCGGGAGCCUGAACCAGCCAAGCCGCGUGAAGGAAGAAGGCGCCAGGCGUCGUAAACUUCUUUUGUCGGGGAACAAAGGGCGCCACGCGUGGCGUUGUGAGUGUACCCGAAGAAAAAGCAUCGGCUAACUCCGUGCCAGCAGCCGCGGUAAUACGGAGGAUGCGAGCGUUAUCCGGAUUUAUUGGGUUUAAAGGGUGCGUAGGCGGUCCGUUAAGUCAGCGGUAAAAUUGCGGGGCUCAACCCCGUCGAGCCGUUGAAACUGGCAGG